rnacentral:rRNA from 1 species
AGAGGGGGACAACAGUUGAAAACGACUGCUAAUACCGCAUAAGCCCACGACCCGGCAUCGGGUAGAGGGAAAAGGAGCAAUCCGCUUUGAGAUGGCCUCGCGUCCGAUUAGCUAGUUGGUGAGGUAAUGGCCCACCAAGGCGAUGAUCGGUAGCCGGACUGAGAGGUUGAACGGCCACAUUGGGACUGAGACACGGCCCAGACUCCUACGGGAGGCAGCAGUGGGGAAUAUUGCACAAUGGGGGAAACCCUGAUGCAGCGACGCCGCGUGGAGGAAGAAGGUCUUCGGAUUGUAAACUCCUGUUGUUGAGGAAGAUAAUGACGGUACUCAACAAGGAAGUGACGGCUAACUACGUGCCAGCAGCCGCGGUAAAACGUAGGUCACAAGCGUUGUCCGGAAUUACUGGGUGUAAAGGGAGCGCAGGCGGGAAGACAAGUUGGAAGUGAAAUCCAUGGGCUCAACCCAUGAACUGCUUUCAAAACUGUUUUUCUUGAGUAGUGCAGAGGUAGGCGGAAUUCCCGGUGUAGCGGUGGAAUGCGUAGAUAUCGGGAGGAACACCAGUGGCGAAGGCGGCCUACUGGGCACCAACUGACGCUGAGGCUCGAAAGUGUGGGUAGCAAACAGGAUUAGAUACCCUGGUAGUCCACACCGUAAACGAUGAUUACUAGGUGUUGGAGGAUUGACCCCUUCAGUGCCGCAGUUAACACAAUAAGUAAUCCACCUGGGGAG